UACAGAGGGUGCAAGCGUUAAUCGGAAUGACUGGGCGUAAAGGGCGUGUAGGCGGUUAAUUAAGUCAGAUGUGAAAUGGCAGGGCUUAACCUUGUCAGGUCAUUUGAUACUGGUUGACUAGAGAUUAGGAGAGGGAAGUGGAAUUUCCGGUGUAGCGGUGAAAUGCGUAGAUAUCGGAAGGAACAUCAGUGGCGAAGGCGACUUCCUGGCCUAAAACUGACGCUGAGGCGCGAAAGCGUGGGGAGCAAACAGG
rnacentral:rRNA from 1 species